AGCAAUGUCCUCACUGCAAGGUUGUUCUUCUCCAGCAGUAGCAGAAGCUCAGGCGCUAAGAACAGUGUUGUCUUGGUUGCUAUCGAGCUACCCCAGCCUGAAGAUUCAGAUUGAGACCGAUUGUCUGCAAGUUUACUGUGCUAUGAGGAAUUCUGUCCAAGAUUGGACUGAGUUUGGAGUAAUUAUUUCUGAAUGUAAGCUAUUAUUAGUCCAAUUGUCAAAUAUCACAUUGGCUUGGAUUAGAAGACAAGCAAAUGAUAUAGCUCAUAUAUUGGCUAAAUCAGUUCCUCAUGGAGCUUGUUUUCGAACUUGGGAUAUUGUUCCCGCUUGUAUUGCUCAUUUUUUCUCUUAAUAAAUAAAUGACCAAUAUUAAAUGUCAAAAAAAAAAAAAAAAGCUUUUCCUUAAUCAUUUUAACAAGUAUGGCUGUGUUUUUUAUGCUGCUUUUAUAUGCUAAUUGCUAUUUUUUUACGGUGUCUUAUAAUAUAAUUUUGAAUUAGUUUUAAAAGUUUUUACGGUGUCCCAUAAUAUAACUUUUCAACUAGCUUUAGAGUUUAAGGUAGUCUUUUGUGAAAAGUUAAUUCAUAUAAUGUUUAGCUUGUAAUAUUUAAUUAAAAGCUACUAAAAUAGCUAACAGCUAAAUGCUAUUAAAACAGUUAACAACGCCCAAAAUAAUUAAUUUUGCCAAACAAAUCCAAGCACAUUCAUGAAUUCUAGAUAGUAGAUGAAUGGAGGCUACAAUUGUUAAUAUAUAAAUAUAUAUAUGAGAUAAAAUUAAAAGAAUUUAUUAAAAUUAUAAAAAUGGUCAAAAUUGAGAUUUUAACCCUUUAUUAUAAAAGUUUUAAUCAAUUUAAUUAUAAUUAGUAUCAACUGAAAAAAUUAUUUGGUUUAUUAAUUUCUAUUAUAUAUAAAAUAUAAAGCAAAGUAUAUAUAAAAGAGAGGAUUUGUAUUCUAAUUAAUCUAUAAUUAGAAAUUUCGUCUAUCUCAAUUCUUUUAAUCUGAUUGGAAUCAAUAAAAAUUUGAGAAAAUAAAUAGUUAUAUGGCCUAAUAAUGCAAUUUGUGACUUGUUACAAUCAUAAUAUAUUUAAUUUUUUGAUAAACAUAUAUUUUAAAAUAAAACUUAUACUAUACGAUUGAAAUUAGGAAAAAAAAAAUGAAUUACAACAUUCAAAAUUCAAGGUAUUUCACAUCUCAAAGUAUUAAUUCCAACCUAUAUUUAAAUAGGGUGUAAUUAUAAUAAUAUUAAGAGCUUUGCUAAAUGUCACAAGUUGUUAACACAAUUAUGCGCAUUUACAAGUACAUCUUUCGUGCAGCAUCAACAAUAUCUAAACUGCUGCUAAAAUAUUUUUAAGGGUAUUACAGUAUUUUCAUUUAUGUUAGAUAUGUCACAAGUUGUGCUAAAAAUACUUUCCGUAAUAUUAAUAGGAUGUAAUUAUAAAAUUUAAAUUUCAAAAUACUUUUACACCUUAAAACAAUUAACCAAUUUUUGAAUCUUUCUUCUAAUUUAUCCUAAAAAAUUUUAACUACUACAAUACUAUAGUUAUCAAAGAGAAACGACAUAUUGAUUUCUAUACACAAUUACCAACAUUACAAGUAUUUUUCCAUCUGUGUUGCUAUAGCGACAAAGUACUAAACUUAGGUAAGUUAGAAAUUUAGAAUAUGUAAUUAAAAGAAACUAUUUACCAUUCAAAACAAAAGGCAACUAUAAACUAAAUAGGGUAAUUCAGUGCCAAAGAGCAUUAAUAGGAUUGAUCAUUAUGGUUCAGGUCAUGGAUUUAAUUCUCUAUAAUACAAACUCCUCCUUAUAGUUUAGGUCAUGGAUUCAAUUCUCCGUAACGCAAACUCUUCCGAAUCAGCUAUUUUGCCUCCAAAAACGAACAAACACAGUUCUAAAUAUCUUGUGCAAAUAUAUAUAUAUAUAUAUAUAUAUAUAUAUAUAUAUAUAUAUAUAUAUAUAAAGGUACUAUGAAUUAUUAUUGCGGCAAUUUUUCGCUUAAUGAGGCUAGACUGAUAAAGUUUAAAUUCUUUUACAAAUUUCAAUAACUUUAUAGUUGUCAAAAGGCGAAAAAUAUAAAUUAAUUAAUUAUUUUAGGGUGUCAACUGUCAAGUAUUAAUCAAAUUUUUACAUUUUAUAGAUGCAAUCUAUUUCAAUUAUAUAGUGCAAUUAGUCUAAAGUUAUUAUUUAUUGAAAAAAUUUUGUGAUAAAUUACAAAUUUUAGGGUAUUGUUAUGUUCUUUUUAGUUAUCCGAUAAAGUGUAAAAUGUAGUAAAAGAUUAAUUUGAAUUGAUAUCAAGUAAUAAGUCUAUAACAAGAGGGAGGGAUACAUAAAAUUUAAAUUCAAUAAAUCUAGUUAGGUAAGAAAAUAUGUUAAAUUAAUAUAUUUGAAUUUAUCUAUAUUCAUGAUAUAUGAAUUUACUUAUAUAUUAAAUUAAUUAAAAAUACAAUUUUAAUUGUAAUUAGAAUAUUUCUGACUUUUAUUGGGAGAAAAAGAAUAUAAUAGAAACACUAUUUUGGAAAAUCCUUUAUAAGGACCGACUCCAUAUAAGUGGAGCACAACGAGACGCGCAUAUAAUUUAAUUUUUAAUUAAAUAAAGCAAAAUUGCGGAAGGGAAGGAUCAGAUACAGGCGGUAGUUCUCUACCACUAACCACAUUCUCACUCUACAUUUAGACAAAAUUGUGGGACCCAAGAGACUGACAACGUUACAAUUUAGGUUUCACAAAUAAGCUUUGUCCGGAUUCGUGGGUUAAGCGGCGGAUGCUCCAUUCUACUCUCUGACGUAACCCUUCUUAAUCUGCCAAUAACCGCGCUCUUCUAUUUCAACUCCCGUCUUUAUCCGCUGCCUUCUUUUAACAUUCACACUGCUCAACAAGCAACGCAUCUGACAGACUGCUUGUCUCCUCCCACGUGUACUCGUCCCUCAUCCUGGCGAGAUUCUAUUGGUAGUUACGGUUUUCUGGAUUCCGUACAUUAUACAACAGGUUUUUGUAGGAUUUUCUUAGAUAGUGCGUCUUCACAUGGCUCUGGCCCUUCACUGACUUUUAUCUGCAAUCAGAUUUUGCCACGUCUGCUAUCCUUAUCUCAAUUCGCGUUCUGAUCGUCAUUAAUUUUCUUUUAAAAGGAAAAAAACCAUAAUAAUUCCUUUUCUAUUUUCUUUUUUUUGACCGUUUGGUGAGGUCGUGGCCACACCAGGCUGGAUACAGCCUAUAGAAAAUAAGCCUGCAAGAUUAAAUGGCAUUUUAUUUUCCUAAAGAUAAGCAAAGAAUUCGAAAUUUUUAAUUAUGUAAUUCAUUUACGAUUUUGAAUUUUCUUUCUAUUUGCACAAUUUGGUGCAUUAUAGAAGGACGUGGCAUUAAUUCCACACACUUGUAUAAAAAAAAUAUUUGAAAAGUAAAUGAUAUAUUAUUAAAAAGUUGUAAUAAAUAUAUUUAUAUUUUUAGAGAUUCAUUGAGCAGAGAGUAUGGCGGAAUGGUUAAAUAGUUGGUAGAAUAGAAAGAGAGAGAGAGAGAGAGGUAAUCGUCAGCUUUGCUGACUCGAAACUAAAGCCCACAUGACGAGUGUGAUUGUGUGCUUUCCUGAUGUCAGGCUCAGUUCUCCACUCCGCCUUAUUAUUGGUCAAAAAGAAAUACUCUCCUUCCACCAUUUAUUUUCAUUUGAUAACUUCAAUACUUUAAUUAAUUAAAUUUUAAAAAAUUGUCCUGCCACCACCAAUAAUGGUGUCUUGACUUUGGACUGGUGACUAAACUAGGGAGGAGACCACACAAUUCCAUGUCUCCUAUAAUAUUGGGCCUGAAAUGGGACGGACCAUACCAUUUGGGCUUGACAGAAUAGCCCAGCUUGAUAUAUACAAAUCUAGCAAGUACACUACUUUCCAUAGCUUCUUUAAGCACAUUUCCUUCUUCUGGAAUCCCCAAAAAAACCACACCAAGCAACCAUCGAAACAAAUCGCAAGAGUAUUUUAACAAUGGAUCAACUGAUCUUCCUCGUUUAUCUCUAACAUCAACAGACCUUAAUUACCGUGAAACUAGCUAUUCACAACUACAUUACUUUCUCCGAAUUUCACGUUUAAAUACGCUGCGUUUUGAGAGAAGAAAGAAGGAAUUUGGAUGGUUGAUAACUUGACAUGAAGAGGAGAGUAAAAAACGGGUGAGCAAACUCUCUGACAAAGCAUUUAAACUCAGCUGCACACUACCCCUUAGACAGCCAAUUGUACAUACAGUACAGCAACCUCUCAUGUGCCAGUAAUAAUAUAAGUUAAUAAGCAAGGAAGCAAGCUGUCAUUCUUAUGUAGCACAUGCCAAACAGUCAAACAUAUUAAGUUGGUUGGACAGCUUAAGGUCGAUGUGAGAGAUCUACCAUUUUUCUUUUUACCUUGCUUUAAAUUAUAUACUACUAUUAUUCAAUUAACAUUGAUUUUGAUAAUCACAAAUUUAUGCCAGUUGCCCUAAUGUUUAGCGAUCUCCCAUUUUUCUAAUUUUACCCUUUUAACAUUUUCAACUUUUAUUUUUGCAGAUUAGACACUCAACUUGAUUAUAUAAUUACAUCUAUUAAAUAAUUUAAUUAGUAAAAUUAGACUAAUUGAACACCUACUUGAGUAAAACAACUCGCUGAACUGAGUUGAAAACUGAACCAAUAUUGUUCAAUUUAUUAAUUAUUGGUCCCCUGCUCGUUAGACACUUGAAAAUUUUAAAUGAUUAUUUCGAAAUUUAUAUUAAUCAUACAUAAAAUUAAUAUUUGCAUGUCAAAACUUAAAACCCAAAAAAAUUAUUAUUAGCGGUGCACAAAAGUGUACAAUAUUACCGAAAUUCAUAAUUUAGAAACACAAUAUGCCUCUUAAAGUUGAAAUUGAUGCAAAGUUAAAAUAAUGAAGUUUAGAAGUAAAUUAUGUGUUAUGCCACAAACUGACACAUAUGUUUAUAAACUUACGGGUAUUUUCAACUUUUUAUAUUAACCUAUUUAUAUCCUUCAACUGAGAAAAUUGCAGCUAUUGAUACCUCCAUUUAUAAAAUUACAUGCAUUUUACAUGUUUUUCAAUUAUCAAAUAUAAGUUCAUAAGUGCAAAACUUCGUGCAUUUUUUAACAGAAAUUAUUGAAUAGUAUUUUCUGCACUUUUUUAAUCUCCAAGAAGUAUAAUUUGAUAAGUGAAAAUAUUCUGUAAGUGUAAUUUUAAAACUUAAUUCAUAUAAUUUUAUAAGCUGAUAGAUUUGCAAGGUAACAUAUAAAUUAGAGUCCACAGUAGAAUUUUUUUUCCAAAGUUGACGUUUCGAUUUAAGCAUUUGGCCUUUUUAUCUUGUUAUAAUUACUUUCGAUAGAGGUCAUGUGUUUAUCAUAAAUUCUCGAGACAAUAUAGAGCUACCUCCAUUCUUGCAGAAGCGAACUACCUUAUGGUUUCAUUCAUUGCAUUUAAUACAAAAACUAUUCCUGCAUCUUUUAUCAUGCCUAUAAAAGGACCCCCUGAUCAAAUUUUCAGACAACUACCACUGGUCUUGCAACAAACAGAGAUGGCAGCAACGGCAAGGCAGUUUUCUUGCGUGCUUUUUCUUGUUCUUGCAAUUGCUCAUGCAAGUGCAAGAAAUACGCCUAAAGAAACUGCAGGUCUCGAUGAUCAAAAGAAUGUGGUUGUAUUUGGCGGUUUAGGUGGCUUCGCUGGUGUUGGUGGUGGUAUUGGAGGUGGUAUUGGUGGUGGUCUCGGUGGUGGUAUUGGAGGUGGGCUGCCUGAUCUCGGUGGCACAGGCGGUGGGAUUGGUGGAUUAGGUGGUUUGGGAGGAGAUACAGGGAGCGGUGGAGGUCUUGGUGGUGCUAUUGGUGGUGGUGGGAUUGGCGGUGGUCAAGGUGGUUGUGCUGAUGGUGGUGCUGGCUCUAUCCUUAACCCUUGAUUCCAUUUCAUGGGAUUUUUUAUGUUUAGUGUUUCUGUUGCAUGCAGAUGCAGUUAGUACAUGUGUUUAGUUACUUUUCUGUUUUAUUCACUGUUGAUUUUUUUUUCCCUUUUCCUUUUUUUAGUAUUGUUCGCUGUUUUAUUGUUUUGGAAUUUUAUUAGUAAUAUUUGCCAUUUCUUUACUAAAAUAAUUAUCAAAUUACUUUCACAGUUUGUUCUUAAUUAAUUGUGGAUCAUAAAUAAUUUCAAUUUUACAACAAUGUCUUAACUAACAUAAUAAACAAUCUUAAUCUCGUAAGAGUGAAAAUAUAAAUUUAAUAUAGAGCAGCAGAAUUCUAAUAAAGACAAAACUCUUAUGCGCUAUGCUCAAAAGAGAGUUUAUUCACGCAAAAAAUGGUGAAACAACGGCUCCUAUAUAGUUUUACAACUAAAAUGAUUUAAUUUGAUAGUCAAUUCUGAUUAAAGGAUACGGGAUCUUUGCCAUUCCAUAUCACUCUUCAGAGGUAAAUGAUAUGGUUCUUGAAUUGUCUAAUUUUAGCAAGUUCAUUGGAACUACUAGUUAAUUAACAGUCAAUUCUGAUUAGAGAAUUUUAGAGACGUAUUAAUAUUAAGAUAUGUUUUCAAACGGUUUAAUUAAUGGAAAUAUAUUGUAUAUGUUUUCAAGUAAUUUUUACUCCAAAGAUUAAAGGAUCCAAAAUUUUAAAAUCAUAACUUUUAGAAAUAUUUAUUUAAAUAUUACUCAUAACCGGAUGUGAAUUGUUCUAUAUAUAUUAUUAAUUUGUUGUUGAGCUAAAAUGCCCAAUAUUUUAUUAGUUGCAAGAAGGACCGGCAACCCUCUAAUACUUCAAGAAUAAAAAUUUCAAAUACAUCAAAAAUGAAAAUAGUGAAAUAAAAAACAUAAUGAUGUGAUUUUAAAAUAAUAUCUAUUGAUAUAAAAAUAAUUGUUUUAACAUUAGAAUGCAUAUAUUAUUAUUGAUAUAUUUCUGAUAAAUGUAAUUUGAAUUUAAUGGAUGAUACGAUCAUUUUUAUAUUAUAGUAAACCGAGGAGAAGAUCCAUCUCCUACCUUUCCUUUCCUUCCAAUAAUAUACAUAUCAGAAAUGAAUCAGAUUCGUACAUUAAUUAUUAAUACAUUGGCUUGGCUUCCAACUACUUGUCAUUGUUCAAUGCCUGUGAAAUUUAAAACUUCUCUGCUGCUUUCAGACUUUCAGUUGGCAUGUCUUCAUCAUUUUCUUUUUUUUUUUUUCAAAAAAAAAAAUUUUAUUAUUAAAUUUUUUUAUAUAUUAAUUAAAAGUUCUUUGAGCAAGAGCCUAAGAUCGAGGUGUCUCUCAAAAUUUGAAAAUUUUCUAAAAUAUAGUACUAAAAAUAACAAAUAACAGGCUUAGCUUAAUGAAAUGUGAUACCUAUAAUAUAUAAAAUAAAAAAAAAACCAAAUAACAUUUUUUUGGGAAAAAAAAAAGGAAAUUCGAAGGAUACAUAUUAAGGGUUAAAUAAAAAGAUUGGUAAUAAUAAAGUAAUUAGGUUAAUAGACUUUCUUGCUGUAGCUUAUUAUGAAAAAAAAUAAUUGAUAUAAUUGAAUUUUUAAUUUUUUUUUUAAUUCAUUGGAGGUUUUUAUAGGCCGAAAUAAUAUUGCAGGUUACAAAAAGGGGUAGCCCUUUCCUUGACUCACCAAAUUGGUGAAAACAACUAUAGUCGAGAGAAUUCGAACUCGAAAUCAAUCAAAUCACCACCUGAUCGGCACAAUUGAACUUUUAAUUGAAAUAUAUAAUUAACUUGAUUUGAUAUUAUAUGAAGUGUUAUUGCAUGAUAUUAUUAAUUUUUAGAAUCUUAAUUAUUGAAUAUUUAAAUUUGUAGUAUGAGAAAUUAUCAUAUUCACAUAUAUAUUUUAUCUUCCAUUUCUUUGUCUGUGUUACUUGUCGCAGCAGGAAGCACCAAUGCAUGGCUCACAAUCUGCCACUAAUUUUCCCUCUGCUAAAUUAUAAAUGCCAUUAAUUCUGGCUGUUGAUCUCCCCGUAACAUGUACUAAAGAAAAAAAAAAAAAAAAAACUCACUUUACAAGAAAAAAAGGAUUAAUCAUGGAUAUACCAUUUACUUGUAUUUAACUCCAUUUACUGCUUUCAACCAUUCCAUACUGCUUCAUUUGCCGCUCCUUUUGCCUUUAAAAAGGGCUUCACAAAAACACUUUGAGAUAUCCCUAGAGAAACAGAGGAGAGAGACAGAGAAAGAUGGCUAGGUGGUGUCUUAGUGUUAUGGUUGUGCUUGCUUUAGUAGCUGUGCAAACUAGUGCUAGAAACGUUCCUAAAGUUGAAAAUAUGGCUACUACCAAAACUAAUGUGCCUAGUAAUAAUGCUGGUCUAAAUGACCAAAAGAACUUCCUCACCUACGGUGGUGUUGGUGGCUACAGUGGUCUUGGUGGUAAUGGUCUUCCAUUCGGCGGGGUUGGAGGACUUGGUGGAGUCACUGGCCUAGGUGGCACUGCCGGCAUUGGUGGGUUUGGUGGAGUUGGUGGUGGAAGUGGUCUUGGUGGCCUUGGUGGCUUGGGUGGUGGUGUUGGUGGUUUGGGUGGCGUUGGCGGUGGCGGUGGCGUUGGCGGCGGUGUUGGCGGUGGCGUUGGCGGAGGCGUUGGCAGUGGAACUGGCGUUCUUCCUUAUCCAUGAAAAUAUUGAUCUCAUUUCUGGUUUAUAGCCAGGGUUUAUGAAGAACUCUAUUUUUAUGCAUGGUUAUUAAGUUGGUUGUGUUUGAGGGUUUAUGUAAUGGUUUAAUUUUAAUUACUUUAUGUUUUGCUUGUUUAUUAGGGUUAGUUGGGUGUGUCUCUUUACUUUGAGUUCGAGAUUUUCAUUGUCAUGUUUAUGUUUGAGUGGAUCAUAGUUACAGAAACUUGAGUUUAAUUAAUGAGUUCAUGUUUAUUAUAUUGUGUUCGUGUUUAAUUUUUUUUGGUUCAGCUAAUUUUCAUUUUAAGAUACAUUUUGAUAUGAUUAAAAACAAC
rnacentral:lncRNA from 1 species